UGUGAGGUUAAGGUUAGCGGUAAUUUUAGUCAAUAUUCUGCAAUGUACACUCUCAAUAAUUUAGAAGAAAAAUUAUUACAAUUUUUACUACCCUGACCUGUUCACAUUCAUGAAUUUAACAUUGGUGAAUAUAGGAAUGAAUAUUCAUUCACAACGUUAAAUUCAUGAAUGUGAACACCUCUGACCCUGACAAGGUAACAACCUCUGUCUUUCAUUAGGUAAUAAAUUUGUCACCAAAAUUGUCAACAUUGUAAGUGACCAACAGUGUAUCCUAUCCGGAAAUAAUUUAUUUCCUUCAUGGAAAUAAUUUCGUUACCAAAAUCAUUUCCUGUAGGUGACAAUUUGUCUCCUUAAAGCCCAGCGCAAAGUUUCGUCACUAAAAGUUUAGUGGCAGUUAAGUUUUCUCUCACACACGUUUCUUUCUCGCAUCUGGCAGAAUAACGAAAAUUGUUCGAGUUUCGCAUCCAAGAAAAAAUACCAGAAGAUAAAAUUAGUAAUUAGAGGUUCAAAUUAUGGAUUACUCUACAUUUCAGAUCCGGAUGCGAAAAUUUCGUUCAAAGAUGAAUAUGGCUCAGAUUGAGAUGAAGAUAUUUUCCUUAUUUUACUGGAAAAAAAAUUUCAUCUCUAACGUUGCGUGUUCCACGGAACUCUUCGUGGAAGAUGUUGUUAUUUUGACACUUCAUUUAUUUUGGCCAGAAUUAGGCCAAAUUCUUUCCGUGCGUCAAAUUCAAAAAGGUGGUCGAAAUGUCAAAUUAUGAACAGAUACCAGGCAAAUCUUCUGAAGAAUAAUAAACUCGAGCCAGCUAGUACGAGAAUCAAUUUCCACCAACAUUAUAAGUGAUAUACAUAUGUACAUGUAUAUAAGCAUGUACAAUUUAAUUUAUAUUAUG